CAGUCGCCGCGGUAAUACGAAGGGGGCUAGCGUUGUUCGGAAUUACUGGGCGUAAAGCGCACGUAGGCGGAUAUUUAAGUCAGGGGUGAAAUCCCAGAGCUCAACUCUGGAACUGCCUUUGAUACUGGGUAUCUUGAGUAUGAAAGAGGUGAGUGGAAUUCCGAGUGUAGAGGUGAAAUUCGUAGAUAUUCGGAGGAACACCAGUGGCGAAGGCGGCUCACUGGUCCAUUACUGACGCUGAGGUGCGAAAGCGUGGGGAGCAAACAGGAUUAGAGACCCCCGUAGUCCCUGUCUCUUAUAC
rnacentral:rRNA from 1 species